rnacentral:rRNA from 1 species
GGUCAGGAUGAACGCUAGCUACAGGCUUAACACAUGCAAGUCGAGGGGCAGCAUUGGAGUAGCAAUACUCAGAUGGCGACCGGCGCACGGGUGAGUAACACGUAUCCAACCUGCCGCUUACUCGGGGAUAGCCUUUCGAAAGAAAGAUUAAUACCCGAUGGUAUAAAGAGUUCGCAUGUUCUCUUUAUUAAAGAAUUUCGGUAAGCGAUGGGGAUGCGUUCCAUUAGAUUGUUGGCGGGGUAACGGCCCACCAAGUCUACGAUGGAUAGGGGUUCUGAGAGGAAGGUCCCCCACAUUGGAACUGAGACACGGUCCAAACUCCUACGGGAGGCAGCAGUGAGGAAUAUUGGUCAAUGGACGAGAGUCUGAACCAGCCAAAAGUAGCGUGAAGGAUGACUGCCCUAUGGGUUGUAAACUUCUUUUAUAAGGGAAUAAAGUGAGGGACGUGUCCCUUUUUGUAUGUACCUUAUGAAUAAGGAUCGGCUAACUCCGUGCCAGCCGCCGC